rnacentral:lncRNA from 1 species
UUGCUUUUUUCAAGCCUUUGCUCUGGACACAGAGGGGAGCUGAGUGCUGCUUUGGGGAGGUUUCUUUGCUGUGCUGAUUUUACCUUUGCUGAUUCUCUCAAUGUUUUGCUCUAAGCUUGAUCUGCUCCCAGAGGUCCUGGAAGUAAAACCAGACCCAUAUUCCAGGCCAGAGCUGGAGGAACCCUGGGCUUUGUUGCUGGCGAAGGAGAAAACCAAAUCUGAUGAUAAUUACAGAAUUAUCCAAAUGCUGAUCAUGCCAUGAGGAACCACGUUUCCAUCUCCUGCUUUGCUUGGUGAGGUAACAACAGGACAUUGCUGUCAGCAUUAUCUCCACAGCAUCGCUUGAAAUUAAAGUUGUGUAUAAAAUGUGUUUUCAGUAGGGCACAAUUUGUUACUCAGCCGAAUGUGCAAAUUGAGGUAUUGGGAAGAUGAGGCAUUUCAAUU